UCACAGUCUCUAGAGCGAGAAGUACAGGAGGUGAAGGCCACUCUCCACACAAUGUUGAUACAGCUGAACAACAUGGAAGAAGAGGAAGAAGUGGAAGACGUGAACAACAUAAUGAACAUUGAGGAAGAGGAAGAUGAGGAAGAGCAAUACUUCAGUGAUAGCUGGGAGAUUUGACACUAUGUGUCUAGGGUUCUUUGACCACUCCUUCCUAAAGUGCCUCUCUCUGCUGACUCGCCUCUAACAUUUGAAAGGUGGAGUAGUGGGGAUGUAGUUGCUUCCAUAUCCUUUUACUGUAGCUCCAAACAUUGCCUGAAAAAUCUCUUGUAUUGCUGGAAUUCUAGAGACAUAUAAACACAUUUGACUAUUCCUGCGUUUUUCAAAAAGCACAUGGGAAGACUUGUUAAUUCUCAGUAUGUUUACAUUAGAAGUUAUGUCAGAUUUGGACAAUUUGGAAGAUUUUUGUUUCAUACUGGUGACAGUUUGAUAUUAUUUUUGUCAUCCCUAAAUAUUUGUACUGCUUACGUUGGUGUAAACAAGUUGAAUCAGAAGGGGGCCUUGGGCAGCUAACCACAGAAACUAUAUGUCUAUGUCUUUACAGUCUAUGUCCUCAAGAGAUUCUCUGAUUCCUUGCAAUGCUUUCUAUAUUACACUCUGAAACAGCUUUUAUAGGGUUAAUGCUGAACAUUCCACUUUAAUGAUGUUGAACAUUCCAUAUUAAUGAUCCUGAGAAUGCCAUGAUAAUGUUGAUAUACAGUAUCUCACAAAAGUGAGAACACCCCUCACCUUUCUGUAAAUAUUGAAAAGUGUCAUUUCUGAAAAAAUGACACUUUGCUACAGUGUAAAGUAGUGAGUGUACAGCUUGUAUCACAGUGUAAAUUUGCUGUCCCCUCAAAAUAACAACACACAACCAUUAAUGUCUAAACCGCUGGGAACAAAAGUAAGUACACCCCAAAGUGAAAAUUUCCAUUUUGGGCCCAAAGUGUCAAUAUUUUGUGUGGCCACCAAUAUUUUCCAGCACUGCCUUAACCCUCUUGGGCAUGGAGUUCACCUGAGCUUCACAGGUUGCCACUGGAGCCCUCUUCCACUCCUCCAUGACGACAUCAUGGAGCUGGUGUAUGUUAAAGAGCUUGCGCUCCUCCACCUUCCGUUUGAGGAUGCCCAACACAAGCUCAAUAGUGUUUAGGUCUGGAGACAUGCUUGGCCAGUCCAUCACCUUUAAUCUCAGCUUCUUUAGCAAGGCAGUUGUCGUCUUGGAGUUGUGUUUGGGGUCGUUAUCAUGUUGGAAUACUGCCCUGCGGCCCAGGGAGGGAUCAUGCUCUGCUUCAGUAUGUCACAGUACAUGUUGGCAUUCACGGUUCCCUCAAUGAACUGUAGCUCCCCAGUGCCAGCAGCACUCAUGCAGCCCCAGACCAUGACACUCCCACCACCAUGCUUGACUGUAGGCAAGACACAAUUGUCUUUGUACUCCUCACCUGGUUGCCCCCACACUUACUUGACACCAUCUGAACCAAAUAGGUUUAUCUUGGUCUCAUCAGACCACAGGAAAUGGUUCCAUGCCCUUAGUCUGCUUUUCUUCAGCAAAUGGUUUGCAGGCUUUCUUGUGCAUCAUCUUUAGAAGAGGCUUCCUUCUGGGACGACGGCCAUGUCAACCGUAUGGUCUGAGCACUGACAGGCUGACACCCCACCCCUUCAACCUCUGCAGCAAUGCUGGCAGCACUCAUACGUCUUUUUCCCAAAGACAACCUCUGCAUAUGACGCUGAGCACGUGCACUCAACUUCUUUGGUCGACCAUGGCGAGGCCUGUUCUGAGUGGAACCUGUCCUGUUAAACCGCUGUAUGGUCUUGGCCACCAUGCUGUAGCUCAGUUUCAGGGUCUUGGCAAUCUUCUUAUAGCCUAGGCCAUCUUUAUGUACAGCAAUAAUACUUUUUUUCAGAUCCUCAGAGAGUUCUUUGCCAUGAGGUGCCAUGUUGAACAUCCAGUGACCAGUAUGAGGGAGUGUGAGAGCGAUGACACCAAAUUUUACACACCUGCUCCCCAUUCACACCUGAGACUUUUUAACACUAACGAGUCACAUGACAACAGGGAGGGAAAAUUGCUAAAUGGGCCCAAUUUGGACAUUUUUAAAACUGUGAGGGGGGACAAACAUUUUUUGUGAGAUACUGUAUGUCCGACUAGCCGUCCCAGCAAGACCUCAGCUCAGCUCUGUCCCACAGACACAGCGUUUCUGUAUUUUAGGUUGUAUUCCAGUAUAUCUAAUGUGCGUGCUAUUUGUGACAUACAAGGUUGUGUAUGAUUUUUAACGAAUGGAUUUAUGACAGCAGAUUUUUAUUCCAGGAUGUACAACCUCAUUUCCCAAAAAUUGGAUCGCUGUGGACAAUGUAAAGAAAACAGAAUGCAAUGAUUUGCAAAUGAUUUAAACCCUAUAUUUAAUAGAAAAAAGACAACAUAUCAAAUGUUGAAACUGAGAAAUAUUAUUGUUUCUUGAAAAAUAUAUGCCCAUUAUAAAUUUUAUGCCAGCAACACAUUUCAACAAAGCUGGUACAGGGGCUACAUAAGCCUGGAAAAUUUGCUAAAAGAACUUGGUGGCACAUCUCAACGUAUUAGGUUAACUGGAGGUCAGUAACAUGAUUGUGUAUAAAAAGAGCAUCCCAGAGAGGAUAAGUCUUUCAGAAAUAGAGAUGGGGAGGGGUCCACUGCUCUAUAUAAGUCUGCGCAGGCAAGUAGUGCAACAUUUUAAGAAUAACAUUUCUCAAUGUAAAAUAGCAGAGUUUGGGGAUCUCAUCAUUUAUGGUACAUGAUAUCAUUAAAAGAUUCUUAGAAUCUGGAGAAAUUUCUGUACGCAAGGGACAAGGAUGAAAACCCAUAUUGGAUGGCCAUGAUUUUCGGGCCCUCAGGCUGCACUGCAUUGUACACAGACACGAUUCUGUAGUGGAAAUCACACCAUGGGCUCAGAAACACUUCUGAAAAUCACUCUGUGAACACAGUACUACAAAUGCAAGUUAAAAUUCGACCAUGCAAAGAAACCGUAUAUAAACAAGGUGCCACCUUCUCUGGCCCCAAACUCAUUUAAGACUGACACUGGACUGAGGCAAAGUGGAACACUGUCGGUCUGACAAAUCAAAAUGUGAAAUAAUUUUUGGGAAUCAACCGGGCAAAAUAGGAGUGGGACUGUCCAGCUUGUGUCAGUGUUCAGUUCAAAAGCCAGCAUCCGUGAUGGUAUGGGGGUUCACUAGUGCAGAGGCGGAGCUUUAAUGGGUGUGAUGUGGGCGCGGCACCCAUGACAGCCAAUCACAAGGCCCCCAAAAAUGUUUAUCUUUUGGUUGAAAAAUGUUAGUAAUAAUAAAAUAAAAUAAUAUUAUGAUUAAUUUGCUACAUACUAUUUAGUUGACAUUGAAGUAAUAAACAUCUAUAUUUUUUAUGAUUCCAUAAUGCAUUUGUAUGAUUGACCAAUCUGUGACAGUGGAAGUAUAGCCAGUGUUGCCAGACAGGAAAGUUUCCCGCAAUAUUGGGCUAUUCUUAAUGACUGUGUGCGGUUUUUAUGUGGAGUUUUCAGGUGACUGGGCCUAUAUUUUCAGAGAAUCUGGCAACCCUUUGUGUAACAUCAGACUUUGUCAGCUCGUUUGCUAAGGAUCUUAACAGUGUAAAAUUAAGUAACAAAACAAAAAAAUGGAACGUAGAUAUCUCUGCCAAUCAAGAGGAAAGAAAAGCAAUACAUUAUAAAAAUUUAAUAUAAUGAUAUAUGCCCUGGAGAAAUGUCUUACAGUUAUGAUCCCGCUCCAAAAGCAGCUAGUAGCGAAGUUUUGUAAUGGCAGGUAUGUUUUGUUGUAGCCUAAGAACAAACUUCUGUUUAUCAUGGUACGUGAAACGUACAUACAAUUUUGAGAGAAUAGUAUUAAAAAUGUAUAUUAUCUGCCCAUCUUUUAGUUUGGAAAUCAGGUAGCAAAACUUUUGCAAUGGGGAGGGUUAGCGGGGGCCUUAGUGCACAUGGCAUGGGUGACGUACACGUUUGUGAAGGCACCAUUAAUGCUGAACAAUAUAUACAGGGUUUGGAGUUGCAUAUGCUGGCAUCCAGACAACAUAUUUUUCAGGGAAGGCCUUGCUUAUUUCAGAAAGACAAUGCCAAACAACAUUCUGCACGUAUUAUAACAGCAAAGCUCUGUAGUAAAAGACUCAAGGUACUAAAGUGGCCUGCCUGCAGUCCAGACCUGUCACCCAUUGAAAACAUUUGGCGCAUUAUGAAAUGAAAAAUACAACAAAGGAGACCCUGAACUGUUGAGCAGCUGAAAUCCUAUAUCAAGCAAGAUUGGGAAAACAUUUCACAUUCAAAACUACAGCAGCUGGUCUCCUCAGUGCCCAAACGCUUACAGAGUAUUCUUAAAAGAAGAGGUGAUGCAACACAGUGGUAAACUUUCCCCUGUCCCAACCUUUUUUAAAUAAGUUUCUGGCAUCCAAUGCAAAAUGCGUAUGUAUUUUGCCAAAAACAAUAACAUCUCUCAGUUUCAACAUUUGAUAUGUUGUCUUUGUACAAUUUUCUAUUAAAUACAGGCAGAAAUCAUUGCAUUCUGUUUUUAUUUGCAUUUUACACAGCGUCCCAGCUUUUUUGGAAACAUGGUUGUAGUCUGAAGGGAAGCUAACAUAACCUUUAAGGGUCUCCUCUCCAGUAAGAUCAAUACCCUAUAUGGAUGUCUAGUGUGAAUAUAGAUAUCUAGUCUGAUUGACAUUUUACUGUAAUGUUUUACUCUUGUAUAUGCAGUGUUUACCAUGAAUUAGGUGUCCAUUAGGCAGUGACUUAGGAAGGCUGUUCCAUGAAGGCAGUGACAUAUGAAGACUGUUCCAUGAAGGCAGUGACAUAUGAAGACUGUUCCAUGAAGGCAGUGACAUAUGAAGACUGUUCCAUGAAGGCAGUGACAUAUGAAGGCAGUGACAUAUGAAGACUGUUCCAUAAAGGCAGUGACAUAUGAAGACUGUUCCAUGAAGGCAGUGACAUAUGAAGACUGUUCCAUAAAGGCAGUGACAUAUGAAGACUGUUCCAUGAAGGCAGUGACAUAUGAAGACUGUUCCAUAAAGGCAGUGACAUAUGAAGACUGUUCCAUAAAGGCAGUGACAUAUGAAGAGUGUUCCAUGAAGGCAGUGACAUAUGAAAGCUGUUACAUGAAGGUGGAGACAUAUGAAAGCGGUGUUGUUUUUAUUUGUUGGCUGUGUGGGUUUAAUUUGAUGAAUGAAUAAUUUUUGAGACUAUCAGAGGACACCACCACUGAGCAACAUUUCACUGUCUACCACUACAGCUAGAUAAAAAGAAAAUCCUUAUCAAGUCACACAGAGUCUUCAUCGGUUUAUUGUUUGUUACAUACAUGGCACCUAUGGGAUCCCUAAAUAAGGAAUGGGGUUAUUUUGGCAUCACUCUGUUUUUAUUGUGUUUUUAUUUAUCAGCCAGCCCUCUGUGCUGUCUUUCAACCACUGUGUUUUAUUACUUUAUAUUUAUUCAUUGUACCAUCUCACUAAAUACAGCAUGUACCAUUGGACUCAUUAUUCUGGUUUCACGUGUUUUCAGUUUUGUCUUCAUGUGCUCAAUUCAAACUUGAGAUACGUUGACUUUAAAAUCAUGGACUGCUAGAUCAGAAAUGUUUGCUUAGGUUCCACCUCGAAAGACUAAGUUUCCAUGGGUCCCAGGUUCCAUGGGACCAGAGAGGAUGGG
ensembl:lncRNA